rnacentral:rRNA from 1 species
GUUUUACUUGGAUAACUGUGGUAAUUCUAGAGCUAAUACAUGCACCCAAGCUCCGACCUUGCGGGAGGAGCGCAUUUAUUAGACCAAGACCAAUCAGGCUUCGGCCUGUCAUCUGGUGACUCUGAAUAACUUUGCUGAUCACACGGUCCUCGCACCGGUGACAUAUCUUUCAAGUGUCUGCCCUAUCAACUGUCGAUGGUAGUUUAUGUGCCUACCAUGGUUGUAACGGGUAACGGAGAAUAAGGGUUCGACUCCGGAGAGGGAGCCUGAGAAAUGGCUACCACAUCCAAGGAAGGCAGCAGGCGCGCAAAUUACCCACUCUCAGCUCGAGGAGGUAGUGACGAAAAAUAACGAGACGGUUCUCUUUGAGGCCCGUCAUCGGAAUGGGUACAAUUUAAACCCUUUAACGAGGAUCUAUUGGAGGGCAAGUCUGGUGCCAGCAGCCGCGGUAAUUCCAGCUCCAAUAGCAUAUACCAAUUCUGCUGCUGUUAAAAAGCUCGUAGUUGGAUCUAUUCCGAGGGCUCAGUCUGUCUAACGGACAUGUACUGGGUUCCGAGGAUACUCAUUGCUGGUUUUCUCAUGGUGCUCUUAACCGAGUGCCUUGGGUGGCUAGCACGUUUACUUUGAAAAAAUUAGAGUGCUCAAAACAGGCGUUACGGCCCGGAUAGUGGUGCAUGGAAUAAUGGAAUAGGAUCUCGGUUCUAUUUUGUUGGUUUUAGGAGCACGAGAUAAUGAUUAAGAGGGACAGACGGGGGCAUUCGUAUUGCGGCGUUAGAGGUGAAAUUCUUGGAUCGCCGCAAGACGAACAACUG